CAUUGCAUGGACUCGAGGUCUAACACUUAACCUUUUUAAACUCAAGGCACCCCUCCAUAACUUUUGUGUGUUGAGCAGCACCCUAUUUAAAAAACAAAUUUAUUACAAUACUCACUUCUUUCCAGAGGGCCACGCAGGGACAGUUCUUAUCCACUCAACUCCUUACGCCUAAAGCCUGAGCCUGCCCUUAUCUGCUUAUCUUCUCACACUUUGCUUAAUUCCUCACACAUCCUGCUGCACCCUUCCAAGAAUCUCAUGGCACCCCAAGGUCCUCCAGCACCCUAGUUGAGAAUUGCUGAUAUAAGACAAGGGUUGUCUAUCUAAGGCCCACAGGUCUGAUCUAGCUCAGAAAGAGGUCUGACCCAACCUGUGGACACCAGUCUCACAGGGGGCAUCAGUGGCAAAGAGCUGGGCAGUGGUGCCCACUUGCUCUGCAGCACUCCCCUCUAACAUGCAGUGUGCUGCUCCACAUCAUCUGAACCUAUGUUUGCUGCAGAGGAGCUAGGAAUCUCUGGCAGCUGGCCCUUGGGGGGGAAUGAAGCAGAGACUUUCAGCUCACAGGAACAUCAGGGUUUAAUUUCUGAUCUGCACCAGCAAAAGGCUGCCACCCCCCGACAGAAGCCAUCACUUACAAGAUUACAAGUUUAGAUAAUAGCCUGCUGCCCCAAGGACUCAUGUGGUAAACAAGCAUGAAGCAAUAGAGUCCAACCAGUCCAUGGAAGCUGCAAGUAGAGAAACCUCCUGGAACUUGGGUAGUAUAUGUGUUUAUUGAGUGGGGUAGCCAUCAAGGAAGAAGAACACAAGAAAACUCACCAAAAAAUAAAACAAAACAAAACCACAUACAUCUCCCACCUCCUGAGAGAAUACAAGUCUGGAGGUAGUGCUGAGUGAGCACACUCCACUUUUUCUGUAGGAACUGGGCCACAGCGCAGAAAGAAAAGCAUUAGGAUCAGGGGGAGCCUGACUGGGUAGCCUUGUGCUUGGGGUACUUGUGCGAGAGGAAGUCCUGAAUCUCCAGAUUUUUUGUGUUUUCUAUCCAAACACUGUUGGGCAGUGUGCAGAGACAAUAGUCGGAGCAGGAAUUGAAAUGCAGGCCUCCCCUACCCAGGGGAGUGGCCUCAUCACAGGGAAGAGCACUGUUGCCUUCCUUCCUGCACCGUCCCACCACACCCAGGAAUCUUCAGCUUUUUGCUGCUUGGAUAGGCCAACCUCACCAUGAAGGGUUCAAAGUGCCCCCACUCAGAAUAGCCUGGAGCCCAGUGGUUACAGCACUGGAGAGGUAGGUCUGAAGAAGCUGACGAGAACAUUGACCCUAGAGGCUCCAGAUUCCUGGGCAAAUGUUCUAACCAUUAAGCUGUUAUGUAAUAAAUGAAAAAGGAACCAUUACAGGCCACGUUUGAAAAAAAGAAACUACUACAACUACCUUUUCUAAGGUACUUGGCCCUCUUACAACAUUAGUUGUGUUCUGAAAAUAUUCCUGCCGGCCUGAGCUGUCAGGAGACUGAGACAGAGAAGUGCCUAGAUCCCAGUCAGGCCCAGGAAGGAGACAGGUAUACAAACACAAACUGACUAAAGGUUGCUGUGUAUUUGCAGGUCAAACAGGAAAGAAGCAAAUGAGUUGUAGGUGUUUCCACAGUUAAACUGACACUGAGGAGAAAGUUUUUUGCAUUGCAGGUUUGGACUUACAGCUGCCUAAAUUCUGCCAGAGUCCUGAUUUGAGUGCUUGAGUUCUCAGCAGCAGCAGCUGGGGAGUCUCAAAGUUUUCAAAAGGACAAAGAAAAGCAAAAGCCAAUUUACUACAUCAUUUAAAUCUGAUAUGCUCUAUGAUGCACUAGCUACUGAUCAGUAGGGGUAUGCAAAGCAGGCUGUAUUUGAUUCGGAUUCAGCCUGAUUUGGGGACACUGAUUCUAUUUGCUGAUUCAGAUUGCUGUCCUGAUGAGAUUCAACUGAAUCUGAAGAUUUGAUUCUGAUUCAGAGAAUCAAUGAUUCAGCCACAGACAGCUUUAUAUGUUUUUUUCUACAUGCCUCGAGGUAUCAGGCUCAUGAACGCUGAGAUGGUGGGGUGGAUGGAGUAUCCCAUGGGAGUAUGGUGAGGGGGAGGCCCGCACACUCUGCAGCAGACCUGGAAGUGGACCAGAAGUACUUCCAGUUCACUUCUGGGGCCACCUCCGAGCACACAGGGGAUGCCCCCCUCCCCCCGGCUCAGCAGUCAGCCGGAGGGGGACCCCGAGUGCCCCCCCCCAGACCCAGGAGGCACCAGUCUGGCACCAACAAUGAGAUGCAAAAGCUUGGAGAAAUUAAUGCCCAGUGGUCAACACUGUCAAACUUGGUCACAUUACUGAGGGGCUGUUUAUUUACAGCCUCUGCAUUUAGACACUUCAGUGAGCUCAGAAGUUCUGCAGUGCUCUAGUCUGGAUUUGGGUGCCUGGCAAGUUAAAAAAAAAAUCUCAGACGCAUCAUAUAAUAAAGUGCAUUUUUGGAACUUUGCUUGUGGUUGAAUCAUAGAAAUUACUGCUCCAACGAGCGAGCAGUACCAUGUAAAGUCAAUUCUGCUCUCAGGCUAAACCUGUCUUGAAAAUGUUGAGGAGAAUGCAGUAUCACUGGGCAGUAUUUAGUUUUAAAUAUAAUUUUGGAUCAGCUGACUGCAGCUCUACUAGAUGAGCUUUGCUCUACUCUCAGCACCUGGGAAGGCCAAGUGCAAUGUCCUGAUUUUUUUAACUCCAGAGACAGGCUCUUUCUUUCCUCCUCUCCUUUCCAAGGUGUAACAGGGCAAGGAACAGCUGUUUUCCUUUGGUGCUACAAAGUUGCGAGUGUGGGGGAAAGUCAGGUCAGGGAAAGGGCAAGGAUAAUUACUUAGUAGACACAGUGGGGAAGAAGGAUCUCACCUGGGGUGAAUGGAGCCUGAUUAAGAGCCAGUGGCUAUUAAAGUCCACAGCAGGGGGCUUUUCUUUGUCCCCUGGGGCACGAUGUGAGGAAAGUCAGCAGGGAAAGCCAGGAGCGGCAAACCCAGCGCUGGAACAGAUCACUAAUAAGACCAUCUGACUGGGUGAAGGUAACCACGGUGACCAGCAAAGCAAAGAGGUGAGAGAGAGAAAGAGAAAGAGAGAGAAGAUACUUACCAGAUUGAUCCUCAGGCAGAGAGAAGGUCCCACAGAGGAAGAAUCCACUGAUACCUGUAAAGGAAGGAAAGAGUGUGAGACUGGAGAUGGGGAAACUGAAGUAAGAAGAGAUUAAAUGACUUGCCUAAAAAUCUCCCAGCAGGAGUGGCAGAGGCAGGAAGAGAACUGAGGUGACUCACUAUACAUUUCAACACAAGUUCAUUGUAUAAGAAAAAACUGCUAAAAAUCAUUACGACUGUUGGGUAUGUUGUUAUUUUGACUCCUUGAUUAAUAUGCCACAUGGAAAAAUUAAUUAUGAAGUACACAUGCUGUUGAUUGACCUAAUAUUUAAACUGAAUGCAUAAAUCAUUGUGGAAAUGUAGUUAAAUCAGGGUUUUAAAUUGUUUGCAAACUUUAUGUCAACUGGCUUUUUAAGAUAAUUUAUUUGCACUGUUGACUAUAAACCUUCUCCUUAACACUAGAUUGCUGAGAAAUCAAUGAUUUUGUUGUUGUUUACAUAAAUGUCCUUAAUCCAAGGGUUAAGAAGU